rnacentral:rRNA from 1 species
GGGUCAGUAGGUUGGUCGUGCCACCGGUACGUACUGGUCACACUGAUUCCUCCUUCCUGAAGAACCGUAAUGCCAUUAAUUUGGUGUUGCGGGGAAACAGGACUGUUACUUUGAAAAAAUUAGAGUGUUUAAAGCAAGCUAACGCUUGAAUACAUUAGCAUGGAAUAAUGAAAUAGGACGAUCGAUCCUAUUUUGUUGGUUUCUAGGAUUGACGUA